GAUGAACGCUGGCGGCGUGCCUAAUACAUGCAAGUCGAGCGAACGGACGAGAAGCUUGCUUCUCUGAUGUUAGCGGCGGACGGGUGAGUAACACGUGGAUAACCUACCUAUAAGACUGGGAUAACUUCGGGAAACCGGAGCUAAUACCGGAUGAUAUUUUGAACCGCAUGGUUCAAAAGUGAAAGACGGUCUUGCUGUCACUUAUAGAUGGAUCCGCGCUGCAUUAGCUAGUUGGUAAGGUAACGGCUUACCAAGGCAACGAUGCAUAGCCGACCUGAGAGGGGGAUCGGCCACAGUGGAACUGAGACACGGUCCAGACUCCUACGGGAGGCAGCAGUAGGGAAUCUUCCGCGAUGGGCGAAAGCCUGACGGAGCAACGCCGCGUGAGUGAUGAAGGUCUUCGGAUCGUAAAACUCUGUUAUUAGGGAAGAACAUAUGUGUAAGUAACUGUGCACAUCUUGACGGUACCUAAUCAGAAAGCCACGGCUAACUACGUG
rnacentral:rRNA from 1 species